GGGUUGUGAGGUUAAGCGACUAAGCGUACACGGUGGAUGCCCUGGCAGUCAGAGGCGAUGAAGGACGUGCUAAUCUGCGAUAAGCGUCGGUAAGGUGAUAUGAACCGUUAUAACCGGCGAUUUCCGAAUGGGGAAACCCAGUGUGAUUCGUCACACUAUCAUUAACUGAAUCCAUAGGUUAAUGAGGCGAACCGGGGGAACUGAAACAUCUAAGUACCCCGAGGAAAAGAAAUCAACCGAGAUUCCCCCAGUAGCGGCGAGCGAACGGGGAGCAGCCCAGAGCCUGAAUCAGUGUGUGUGUUAGUGGAAGCGUCUGGAAAGGCGCGCGAUACAGGGUGACAGCCCCGUACACAAAAAUGCACAUGCUGUGAGCUCGAUGAGUAGGGCGGGACACGUGGUAUCCUGUCUGAAUAUGGGGGGACCAUCCUCCAAGGCUAAAUACUCCUGACUGACCGAUAGUGAACCAGUACCGUGAGGGAAAGGCGAAAAGAACCCCGGCGAGGGGAGUGAAAAAGAACCUGAAACCGUGUACGUACAAGCAGUGGGAGCACGCUUAGGCGUGUGACUGCGUACCUUUUGUAUAAUGGGUCAGCGACUUAUAUUCUGUAGCAAGGUUAACCGAAUAGGGGAGCCGAAGGGAAACCGAGUCUUAACUGGGCGUUAAGUUGCAGGGUAUAGACCCGAAACCCGGUGAUCUAGCCAUGGGCAGGUUGAAGGUUGGGUAACACUAACUGGAGGACCGAACCGACUAAUGUUGAAAAAUUAGCGGAUGACUUGUGGCUGGGGGUGAAAGGCCAAUCAAACCGGGAGAUAGCUGGUUCUCCCCGAAAGCUAUUUAGGUAGCGCCUCGUGAAUUCAUCUCCGGGGGUAGAGCACUGUUUCGGCAAGGGGGUCAUCCCGACUUACCA
rnacentral:rRNA from 1 species